CGCUGACACUGAGGGUGGCCCGUGUCCCGCCCCAGGAAGACGCUGCAGGUGAAGAUCGUGGAUGACGAGGAGUACGAGAAGAAGGAGAAUUUCUUCAUCGAGCUGGGGACACCGCGCUGGCUCAAGCGUGGCAUCUCGGCUCUUCUGCUCGCCCAAGGUAGGAGCCUUCGGCCUCGGCCUCGGACCCGUCCCAUGACCAUGGAUGUCCCCAUGACCGUGGGACGGCGAGCGGCAGCUGUCGGCCGAGGAGGAGGAGGCGCGGCGCAUCGCCGAGAUGGGCAAACCCGUGCUGGGCGACAACCGGCGCCUCGAGGUGGUCAUCGAGGAGUCCUACGACUUCAAGAACACGGUGGACAAACUGAUGAAGAAAACCAACCUGGCCACCGUCAUCGGCACCCACUCGUGG